UACAGAGGUCUCGAGCGUUGUUCGGAAUUAUUGGGCGUAAAGAGCUCGUAGGCGGCUUGGCGCGUCGGCUGGGAAAUCCCGUGGCUCAACUGCGGGUCUGCAGCCGAUACGGGCUAGCUAGAGUUCGGUAGGGGAGACUGGAAUUCCUGGUGUAGCGGUGAAAUGCGCAGAUAUCAGGAGGAACACCGGUGGCGAAGGCGGGUCUCUGGGCCGAUACUGACGCUGAGGAGCGAAAGCGUGGGGAGCGAACAGG
rnacentral:rRNA from 1 species